GCUUGAUAUUCUCAAUCAUCCAUUCUGUGUAAUCAAGACAAAAUAAUCACAACACCAAAGCAAAUUUCACCUCUAAGAAAUGAUUUAACCCUAACAGUAAAAAGGGCAAAAAUGAAAAAUGUAAGUUCCAAAAGAUGACUAAUUUGACCCUAAUAACUAAAACUUUUUACACUUCCAAAUUGCCGAAAAAAUCAAUCGAUAUUCCAAUUAUCAUACUCUUCGCCGGCCAUCGGAGUAUUGAGAAAGAGGGACGACCUCCGACAACGGCGUAGAUAACGGCGUCGGCAACGGCGAAU
rnacentral:misc_RNA from 1 species